rnacentral:rRNA from 1 species
UACGUAGGGUGCAAGCGUUAAUCGGAAUUACUGGGCGUAAAGCGUGCGCAGGCGGUUUUGUAAGUCUGUCGUGAAAUCCCCGGGCUCAACCUGGGAAUUGCGAUGGAGACUGCAAGGCUAGAAUCUGGCAGAGGGGGGUAGAAUUCCACGUGUGAGCAGUGAAAUGCGUAGAGAUGUGGAGGAACACCGAUGGCGAAGGCAGCCCCUGGGUCAAGAUUGACGCUCCAUGGCACGAAAG